rnacentral:rRNA from 1 species
GAUGAACGCUGGCGGCGUGCCUAAUACAUGCAAGUAGAACGCUGAAGGAGGAGCUUGCUCUUCUGGAUGAGUUGCGAACGGGUGAGUAACGCGUAGGUAACCUGCCUGGUAGCGGGGGAUAACUAUUGGAAACGAUAGCUAAUACCGCAUGACAACAGUUCUUGCAUGAUAACUGUUUAAAAGGUGCAACUGCUCCACUACCAGAUGGACCUGCGUUGUAUUAGCUAGUUGGUGAGGUAACGGCUCACCAAGGCGACGAUACAUAGCCGACCUGAGAGGGUGAUCGGCCACACUGGGACUGAGACACGGCCCAGACUCCUACGGGAGGCAGCAGUAGGGAAUCGUCGGCAAUGGACGGAAGUCUGACCGAGCAACGCCGCGGGAGUGAAGAAGGUUUUCGGAUCGUAAAGCUCUGUUGUAAGGGAAGAACGAGUGUGAGAGUGGAAAGUUCACACUGUGACGGUAUCUUACCAGAAAGGGACGGCUAACUACGUG